GAUGAACGCUGGCGGCGUGCCUAAUACAUGCAAGUCGAGCGAACAGACGAGGAGCUUGCUCCUCUGACGUUAGCGGCGGACGGGUGAGUAACACGUGGAUAACCUACCUAUAAGACUGGGAUAACUUCGGGAAACCGGAGCUAAUACCGGAUAAUAUAUUGAACCGCAUGGUUCAAUAGUGAAAGACGGUUUUGCUGUCACUUAUAGAUGGAUCCGCGCCGCAUUAGCUAGUUGGUAAGGUAACGGCUUACCAAGGCAACGAUGCGUAGCCGACCUGAGAGGGUGAUCGGCCACCCUGGACCUGGAACACGGUCCAGACUCCUACGGGAGGCAGCAGUAGGGAAUCUUCCGCAAUGGGCGAAAGCCUGACGGAGCAACGCGGCGUGAGUUAUGAAGGUCUUCGGAUCGUAAAACUCUGUUAUUAGGGAAGAACAAAUGUGUAAGUAACUAUGCACGUCUUGACGGUACCUAAUCAGAAAGCCACGGCUAACUACGUG
rnacentral:rRNA from 1 species